rnacentral:rRNA from 1 species
GAUGAACGCUGGCGGCGUGCCUAAUACAUGCAAGUCGAGCGAACAGACGCGGAGCUUGCUCCUUUGACGUUAGCGGCGGACGGGUGAGUAACACGUGGAUACCCUACCUAUAAGACUGGGAUAACUUCGGGAAACCGGAGCUAAUCCCGGAUAACAUGUUGAACCGCAUGGUUCAACAGUGAAAUACGGUCUUGCUGUCACUUCUCGAUGGAUCCGCGCCGCAUUAGCUAGUUGGUACGUUCACGGGCUACCAAGGCAACGAUGCGUAACCGACCUGAGAGAGGGGUCGGCCACACGGGAGCGUAGACACGGACCAGGCGACUGCGGGAGGCAGCAGUAGGGAAUCUUCCGCAAUGGGCGAGAGCCUGACGGAGCAACGGCGCGCGAGUGAAAGAGGUCUUCCGAUCGGAAAACUCUGUUACGAGUGAAGAACAAAUGUGGAAGUAAACAAGCACGUAGUGACGGUACCGAAUCAAAAAGCCCCGGCUAACUACGUG